rnacentral:rRNA from 1 species
AACGAACGCUGGCGGCAUGCCUAACACAUGCAAGUCGAACGAGACCUUCGGGUCUAGUGGCGCACGGGUGCGUAACGCGUGGGAACCUGCCCUUAGGUUCGGAAUAACUCCCCGAAAGGGGUGCUAAUACCGGAUAAUGUCUUCGGACCAAAGAUUUAUCGCCUUUGGAUGGGCCCGCGUUGGAUUAGCUAGUUGGUAGGGUAAAAGCCUGCCAAGGCGACGAUCCAUAGCUGGUCUGAGAGGAUGAUCAGCCACACUGGGACUGCGACACGGCCCAGACUCCUACGGGAGGCAGCAGUGGGGAAUAUUGGACAAUGGGCGAAAGCCUGAUCCAGCAAUGCCGCGUGAGUGAUGAAGGCCUUAGGGUUGUAAAGCUCUUUUACCCGGGAUGAUAAUGACAGUACCGGGAGAAUAAGCUCCGGCUAACUCCGUG